GAUGAACGCUGGCGGCGUGCCUAAUACAUGCAAGUCGAGCGAGCGGACGAGAAGCUUGCUUCUCUGAUGUUAGCGGCGGACGGGUGAGUAACACGUGGAUAACCUACCUAUAAGACUGGGAUAACUUCGGGAAACCGUAGCUAAUACCGGAUAAUAUUUUGAACCGCAUGGUUCAAAAGUGAAAGACGGUCUUGCUGUCACUUAUAGAUGGAUCCGCGCUGCAUUAGCUAGUUGGUAAGGUAACGGCUUACCAAGGCAACGAUGCAUAGCCGACCUGAGAGGGUGAUCGGCCACACUGGAACUGGGACACGGUCCAGACUCCUACGGGAGGCAGCAGUAGGGAAUCUUCCGCAAUGGGCGAAAGCCUGACGGAGCAACGCCGCGUGAGUGAUGAAGGUCUUCGGAUCGUAAAACUCUGUUAUUAGGGAAGAACAUAUGUGUAAGUAACUGUGCACAUCUUGACGGUACCUAAUCAGAAAGCCACGGCUAACUACGUG
rnacentral:rRNA from 1 species